rnacentral:rRNA from 1 species
GACGAACGCUGGCGGCGUGCUUAACACAUGCAAGUCGUACGGUAAGGCCCUUUCGGGGGUACACGAGUGGCGAACGGGUGAGUAACACGUGAGUAACCUGCCCACAACUUUGGGAUAACGCUAGGAAACUGGUGCUAAUACUGGAUAUGUGCUCCUGCUGCAUGGUGGGGGUUGGAAAGCUCCGGCGGUUGUGGCUGGACUCGCGGCCUAUCAGCUUGUUGGUGGGGUAGUGGCCUACCAAGGCGGCGACGGGUAGCCGGCCUGAGAGGGUGACCGGCCACAUUGGGACUGAGAUACGGCCCAGACUCCUACGGGAGGCAGCAGUGGGGAAGAUUGCACAAUGGGCGCAAGCCUGAUGCAGCAACGCCGCGUGCGGGAUGACGGCCUUCGGGUUGUAAACCGCUUUCAGCAGGGACGAAGCUUUUUGUGACGGUACCUGCAGAAGAAGCACCGGCUAACUACGUG